CCUGGUCUCUAUGGCUGGGGCUCGCGGGGCUGGAGCAGGCUGACGUUGGUGACAAACAUGGCGGCGGGGAGCAGCAGCAACUACUGGGAAGAUCUCAGGAAGCAGGCUAGACAGCUGGAGAAUGAGCUUGAUCUGAAGUUGGUCUCCUUCAGCAAACUGUGCACAAGCUACAGUCACAGCAGCACCCGAGAGGGAAGACGCGACAGGUAUAGUUCUGAUACAACUCCUCUCUUAAAUGGGUCAAGCCAAGACAGAAUGUUUGAAACCAUGGCGGUGGAGAUUGAACAACUUCUGGGAAGGCUUACUGGAAUAAAUGACAAAAUGGUGGAGUACACCAACAGCGCGGGAGUCCCAUCCCUGAACGCAGCACUGAUGCACACAUUACAGCGUCACAGAGACAUAUUGCAGGAUUACACACAUGAAUUCCAUAAAACCAAAACCAACUUUCUGGCAGUACGGGAAAGGGAAAAUCUCUUGGGAUCAGUACGGAAAGAUAUUGAGUCAUAUAAAAGUGGGUCCAGUGUGAACAACAGAAGAACAGAGCUGUUCCUGAAAGAACAUGAGCACCUUCGAAACUCGGAUCGGCUGAUAGAAGAAACAAUAAGCAUUGCCAUGGCAACAAAAGAAAAUAUGACUUCGCAGAGAGGGAUAUUGAAGUCAAUACAAAGCAAAAUGAACACCUUGGCCAAUCGGUUUCCCGCAGUGAACAAUCUGAUUCAAAGGAUCAACCUACGGAAGCGACGGGACUCUCUCAUCCUGGGUGGCGUUAUUGGCAUCUGUACCAUCUUAUUGUUGCUAUACGCUUUCCAUUGACGGACAUUCUCCGUGGACUCUGAUAACCUUAUCUGCUCCCAACCCAUCAAGGAGAAGUGGGUGGGGGAAGUCAGUAGACCUGAUAAACAGCCUGCACAUGAUGGCUGAAAUAUCAGCAUGAUGUCUAAGGUUUAUGGUGGCAGACUUUACAACACUGGUUUUGAGCUGAAGCUGCAGUAUUUCUCCUCCCCUGCCAAAACUAUUUCUUCUUCUUUUGCUUAAAUAUUUUUUUUAAUCCCCUGUCUCACUACAAGCACUUCUCUGCCUUUCUGGUUCUCAGGGCCAGUUAGAGGCGCCUGUCUUGGAGGUGGGGCCCAUCGGUGACACUGGCAGUGUUGCCCUCCUGUUUAUCCACCAGCAGGAGCUGUAGGGAGAAGUGGCCAAAGCACUAAAACAAGCUGAGAUCACUUUCAAGUUGCUUCUCAGUCUCCAUCGCCUCUCGGGGGAAACGCAUUGACCUGCGGGGGCUCUGCUGUCACUUCUUUCCGUGUGCUGUUUGUCAGUGACCAGCCACCCGUUGUAAAGCUAUCUGGUAAGCCAUCAGCUCUCCUCGAAUUCCAGAAAGAGAUCUUCUGCCCUCUUUUACCCAUCCCCAAGUCAACACAGGGACAUUUCUUCUUCUUCAGGCUCCUGGCCCACUUUCUGGCUAAAAGGUGCAGCAUGAUUUUUCAGACUCCAGUUACCCGAGCAGCAAUCCUGGUAACAUCCAGUGCUGCCUGAAAAUCCUGUCCAUAAUAAGUAGGAUGCACAGCAAUGAAUUCCCUGAAAAUGUUAUAGGCAUUUUUAUGCCAAAUGAGUGUUGCCUGUUGAUUCUGUGCUUGGCAGCCUCAGUACCAGACUGCUGUUCCUGCAAUGCCAUUGAUCCCUGUUCUGUAUCCUUCACUAGAUAGCGAGUGCAAAGCAAGGAUGCACAUAGGGUUUUAUUUUAUUCCCUCAGCCUGUCUCUGGGACCAAUAGAAUGUUCACCAGAUCCCUCUUCAUUAAUAAGACAGGACGGUGCUUUUGUUAAUCCGAGAGUCUGCCUGCUGCUGAGAGGUUGUAAUGGAAAACAUAGCACUUUCAUUCUUCAAUUAAUCCCUGGCAAAUUUAGGAACUUCUGGGCAUAGAGUUCUGAAUUCAGUUAGGAAUUUGCACCACCCCAUUAGAUAACCAAGCAAUGCUUUUCUUCAGCUCCCUGCAAAAGUCCUCUUUGGAAGGGCCCAACAAAAUCAGAAUGUGCAGAAGAGAAGGUUCUUCACUGGGUGUUGAAAAUACAAAGGCAAAAGUAGCUCUUUAGGCAGCGUGUAGGUGUGAGACAUGCAUUGAUAGUUCAACUGCCAGGGCUUUGUUCCUCCAGGAACCCUGAGAACUGCUGCACAGGGGGUGAUGGCUGGCCUAGCACUUUUGGCUAUGUAGCUAAUUUAGCCAACACAGUUAAACUACUAAAGUAACUAAAAGUUGCUUCCCAAGCACCCUUGUUGCACACCAGGAUUUCUUUCCUAUUGUUUUCAACUAACAUUUAGGGCAGGGAAGGAGGACACAUGCUUUUGUUACAAAGGGUUUCAGAAUGAAAGUGACAAAGGUGGUGUUAUGAAACUCUGCAGGGAAGGGAGCAUAUGUAACGAUGUGCAGCACGGGAGAAUACAUUGAAAGACAACUUCAUACAAAGCUGAGCUGUGGAGACAUCUGCUCCUUAUGCCCUGUCUCUUGCCUCAUGACUGGACAUUUGCCUUCAGUGUGAAGCUUCCAGCUUUGAAUGAGUAAGCUGCUGUUGGUCUGCCCACCAUUCAGAGAGCGGGAAGCCAUUCCAGUCAGACUCUCUCAAGACUAACGAUUAUUCUUUAUCGUGGAAAAUACCAGCCCAGCCCCAUGUAUGUUCUUUUCCAAUUGCAAUUCUAAUUUGUUUGCUUUUCAAAUGGCUUCUUGAAACCUAACUAUUUUAUUGUACUUGUAAUUAUUUUUGUUCUCACCUAAUGUGCAUUUUCUGUCUGUAUAGAAAAGCUUUGUUAUGUAAUUUAAUAAUAAAUUAGAAUUCUAAAUGA